rnacentral:rRNA from 1 species
CGGGUGCACUGAUCCAGCCGGGCCUUUCCCUCUGUGGAACCCCAUGGCCUUCACUGGCUGUGGUGGGGAAACAGGACUUUUACUUUGAAAAAAUUAGAGUGCUCCAGGCAGGCCUAUGCUCGAAUACAUUAGCAUGGAAUAAUAGAAUAGGACGUGUGGUUCUAUUUUGUUGGUUUCUAGGACCGCCGUAAUGAUUAAUAGGGACAGUCGGGGGCAUCAGUAUUCAAUUGUCAGAGGUGAAAUUCUUGGAUCUAUUGAAGACUAACUACUGCGAAAGCAUUUGCCAAGGAUGUUUUCAUUGAUAAGGAACGAAGGUUAGGGGAUCGAAGACGAUCAGAUACCGUCGUAGUCUUAACUAUAAACUAUGCCGACUAGGGAUCGGACGAUGUUAUUCUUUGACGCGUUCGGCACCUUUCGAGAAAUCAAAGUGCUUGGGCUCCAGGGGGAGUAUGGUCGCAAGGCUGAAACUUAAAGAAAUUGACGGAAGGGCACCACCAGGGGUGGAACCUGCGGCUUAAUUUGACUCAACACGGGGAAACUCACCAGGUCCAGACACAGUGAGGAUUGACAGAUUGAGAGCUCUUUCUUGAUUCUGUGGGUGGUGGUGCAUGGCCGUUCUUAGUUGGUGGAGUGAUUUGUCUGCUUAAUUGCGAUAACGAACGAGACCUUAACCUGCUAAAUAGCCCGUACUGCUUUGGCAGUUCGCCGGCUUCUUAGAGGGACUAUCGG